ACCGCCCGUCACACCAUGGGAUGGGUUCACCAGAAGCAGGUUGCCUAACCGCAAGGAGGCGCCUACCGACGGUGAGCUUCGAUGACUGGGUG
rnacentral:rRNA from 1 species